CUUACCCUUCCCGCGCAGCCUCGCGAUUGAUCGGAACCACCCCGGGGGCCUGUCCCCAAGGGCCUUCCGCUGCUCAGUGUCUAACUCAGGGGAGAAAAUCAUGCAGAUGGAGAAGGGAGGAAAUGGAACUUCUGUCCCAGUCAGAUGUACCAUGUGUGUUGUCUGUGGAGUGGGACCAGCACACCACGCUGAUGAACAACACAGAAUGCCCAUCAAGCAACAUCAAGUUGUAUUAUCUUUUCUAUCUAAUCUCUGAUGAAGAAACAAUGUGACCCUCCUCUUCUCCCCACACGUGCAUCCUGGACCUGUGGCUAGUUGUCUAGAAGAAGGAAUGCCACAGAGGUAACUGACAUCCCCCUUCCAUAUGGGGAGGGACAGAUCUGCAUGUGAAGGGUCCCCUCCAGAUGAAAUUCACAAAGUACCAUCUGGCCCUGAGUAAAAACAUGGAUAAAUAUGAUCUCAGAUGAGGACUACAGGGUAUGCAGUAAUAACAUUUUUUUUAUCCCACAUUACAAUUAAAAUUAUUUUCAAGGUG